rnacentral:lncRNA from 1 species
ACUUUGGCAGGUGGAGAGAACUGAAAGUGUGUCUAAUUGGUUUCCUUAAUAAGCGCUUUGAUUGACCUGCAGUUGCGGUGCCAUGCAUGUACCAGGCCCAUACCCACAAGACUCCGGCUACUUGAGGCUCUCGUGCAUUCCAAGCUGGCCUCAGGUUGGUUACCUACCCAAAAUGGCCUUGAAAUUUCGAUCCUCUUGAUGCCACCUAUUGAGUCUGCGUCAUCACACUGGGCUCUAGGUGCUGGCGAAGGCACCCAGGGCUUCCUUCAUACUAGACACAUACUAACAACUAAACUACUUCUUCAGCCCCAAGAACUACAAUUUUCAAAGGCGGUGGUGUGCACAUUACUUGAGAAUAGGCAGAUCUCAACGUAAAGUGCCAAAUAAAAGGCGAAUCCCUUC